CUAAAAUCAAUCUCCAUCCCUAGACCGAGAUUCAACACAAGGCUCGUGUUGAAUCUAAACCAAGGUUCAUAAUCAUCCUAAGGCCCUAAGGCAACUAUAUAGUCCAUCAAAUGAAUGCAAAGGUUAUGUUAGUAGUAUCAUAUACUCUUGCUUUAAAAACCGUUUUAUAAAGCAUAGUGGGAGUAUUAUAUACAACUAAAAACAAUCAUAUGGACCAAUAGUUGUAAUAGGACCAA
rnacentral:lncRNA from 1 species